rnacentral:rRNA from 1 species
UACGAAGGGGGCUAGCGUUGUUCGGAAUUACUGGGCGUAAAGCGCACGUAGGCGGAUAUUUAAGUCAGGGGUGAAAUCCCAGAGCUCAACUCUGGAACUGCCUUUGAUACUGGGGAUCUUGAGUCCGGGAGAGGUGAGUGGAACUGCGAGUGUAGAGGUGAAAUUCGUAGAUAUUCGCAAGAACACCAGUGGCGAAGGCGGCUCACUGGCCCGGUACUGACGCUGAGGUGCGAAAGCGUGGGGAGCGAACAGG